UUAUAUCAAUGCACUCAAAAAUUUGUCAAUACUUUUAGUUUUUUUUGACUCAUCAAAAAUAUGUUGUAAUAAAGUAAACUCAUUGCUCUUUAUACAAAUUCUCUAUUGUCUAAGCAACUCGACACCCAAUAACGUAUUCAUUACGAAUUAAAGCCAAUCUGUAUUUAAUUUUUAUAGGAACAACUAGCCGAACUUCAAUGUUAAUCAAAUGAAUAUUCAUGGCAAGGUCAACAUUAUUCAACGAAACACUUCUGGCAUAAUCUUGCCCCCAGUCGAAGGAGCCAAUUUGAUUGAUUGAUAGCACCGUUAGUGACAGUGGCAGUGGCAAGAAGAGCAGCCUGUUGGCCACACUGACAAGUGCCAAUUAAACUAAAACGCGGCGACGGCGGCAACAGGCAACAAACCAAACCGAUUUACGAACAACACAAGCCAGACAUGUAUAGGCCGAUAAAAAUGCCAGUUAUUUUUUGUUCCGGCAAGUUUGUUGUUGUUGUUGUUUUUUUUUCUACUGUUUUGUUCGCACUAAUGACACAGGACAUUCCCAGCUCCCAGCCGCUGCCUUUGCCUCGAACGCGCCUUGACGUUGAUAGGCCACAACAAUUUUCAUUGGACAGCCAUUUACAAUAAACGUCAGCGAUUGCUGGCGUUUGGUAAACUUGAAAGCAAAAAAAAACACAACCAAAAAAAAAACGAAAAAAUCAUAGCAUAGUGUAGAAAAAAUGAAGAGGACGUCGUGUAGUUUAGGUUAAGCGCAAAAUCAAAGUGCCAUUGAGAGGCCGAGGCUUGAUAAGCGCUAAUGAAUGGUUUUCUUGUGCGCUUCAAUGGGCCGUGUCUAUGGCUGGCCGCAACCAUGGCAGCAGUCACAGCGGCAGCAACAGCAGCGGCAGCAACAGCAGCAGCAGGACACUUGUCGCGGUUUGGGCAAUUUAAGUGGCGGUUGAUGUUGUCGUUCAUGUCGACGACGACGACGAUGCUGCCUGCGGUUGGGCUGACGCAAAUGUUUGGUUUCGCUGGCAAUUAACGUGGCCAAAAAAAAAAUACCCCGAAACAAAACGAAAAAAAAAAACAAUGCUGUUGCAUUCGUUUUUUUUUUUCGUUCGUUGGCCAUUUUUGGGCUUGUAAUAAAAUGGCAAACGUAUGCCUGCAAUCAAUAACCGAAGCGAGCUACACUUUUCUCUGUUUGCCAUCCUUCUUUUAUGUUUUUCUUUUUUUUUUUGUGUAGUUUUUGCACAGCCAAAAACCACAACACCAACAGCAGCUCGUAUAGUGACAGCGACAAAAAGAGGACAGAGGGAGUAACGACAACAACAACAGCAAACAUACACACACAAAAAAGUGUAGAGUGGGAGGGCGGAAGAAAGAGGAUUGGCGGCUGCCAACAAGCGACUUAAUACAGGCCAAGUUGAUGAAGACACAAGACAGAUGGAUAACGGCAGUUGUUCAAUUCGCAUUUCAUGCCUUUCAAUUUGCUGUUUGCGCUUUGUUUUUGCUCUGGUCAACUUAAUUCUUGACCACCAUUUAAUGCAUACAAUUUUUCUGCACUUUCCCUGGUAAUGAAGCAAUUAAGUGCAAAGUGCAUAAUAACAUAUAUUUAACAAAUAUGGAUUCAUAUUUCGUGUCAAACUAAAAAUUACCACAACCACGACAUUAAACAAUAAAAUUAAAUUGCUUGAAAUUUGAACGCAACAGCAAUGAAGCCAACACUAACGCGUUGGACACUUCAUUAAAUAAUUGAACACCAAAUUCGGGCAAUUUAUCAUUAAUGAUUGCCACAAUACCAAAAAUAAAAUAGCAACAACAAGUGCUCGAAAUUCAAGCUUGAUGAACAUUAAGUUACCUAAGUUCAGUUCUUUGAGAGUCAGUUUCAGAUAUUGAAUAUACCUUUCAUGUAUUCUCAACCUACUGGGUAUUAAUAAGGUACGCUAUCGGCUUGCCGUCUGCACGUUCUCACCCCAAAAGGAAAAGCAACAAAUUACUUAUAAAUUUGUAUGUCAUGCGAGCCAUUGACAAGCAGCUACAAUUACCAAAAGCACCACGACAAAUUGAGCAGCAGUGGAAACCAGACAAAGCAGUAGAUACUCACAUAAAUAAAUCAGCUCUGGACAUGUGUUAAUUAUCUAAAAGAAGUCCCGAGACGAGCGGCACAACAUUAACAUAUUUUUAGAAAAGCAAUAAAAUUAGGAGCAGGGCAAGAGAAAAGCGUCAAAGCAUAAGAAAACUAAUAGAUAUUGCUUAAAGCAAAUAAGCAAACAAUUUACUUCAACUUUUAAGUACAAUACAAACUGCAUCAAGUAGCUGUCAAAUAGUUAUUUCAAAUAGCUUAUCAUCUGGUUUUUGUAAUACAAAUAAACAGUUCAGAGUGCAGAAAAAUGAUAAUGUUUGAGUAGAAGCAUUAAUCUGUUUGCAUGCUAAGCGCCGUUGAAAGUAAUUCCCCAAAACCAUUUAAGCCAUAAAUUGUAUUGCAAACUGAGCAAACGAGACAGAUAGAAAAGGAGAAAAGGAGAAGCGAGCGCAUUAAACGUUGCUUAAACCAAGAAUACGUAUACGCAGAGUAUACACGAGUAUCAAGUUUUAUUGACCCACAAAUAACGUGCAGAUAAUUACAAAAACAAUGGCAAUUGCUGGCGGCUAGUUAGUGGCCAAAACAAAUGUGCAAGAAGAAGUCUUUGUCAUGCUACCAUUGCGGGGGCGACAGCGAGGAGCAAGCAGUGUGAUGGAAGAAUAACAUGGCAAAGUGGAAAAACUACUUACAAGUAUGUUAACAUGCGCAAUUGUUAGAGAAAGACCCGUUGCCAGUUGCCAGUUGGCCGUUGUAGCCCUUAGGGGGCGACUUGCCAAAGCACAUCCCGAAAAAGGCGAAGUCAGAGCCAAACCGAAUCCAGCCAAACAAUAGAAAAUUUUCCUUUUUCUUGCGUGCUUUUCCCACUGCUUCAGUCGCUUCAGACGCUGCUGUUGAAUUUCGCCCAAGAUGCUACGAGUUUAUUUGUUGUGGUCAUGGCAAAAAGUAAUCCAAAGAUAAAAUACAAUAAAAUAAAAGGCCAAGCGAAGCGACUUUUAUGCUCGGAUUUGGCCCAAAAGAAGCGUACGCGAAAAUCACGUAAUUUAUGUGAUUCCCAGUUGCAAUUGCACUCGCAGUCGCCGUUUGCUGUUUGCAGUCAAAAAACGCCUGACGCAAUUAUAGCCAAGCACGAACACACACAAACACACAUACACAUAAAAACAAGUAUACACACAUAUACACAGAAAGAUGCUUGAACAACUGGCUGUGUCAAAUGUCAAAGAGGGAAUCAAAAGCAAUUGAAAGGGGUUAAAGCUGAAUUUACCCAUCAACAACAGCGAUAAAUAAGCAAGUUAAGAAAUGCAUUUAAAAUCCAUAUGAUAUUUCCACCGCGCCAUUAACAUUAAAUCACAUACGAGAAUAAUAGGAAUCAAUUUUAAUGCUAUCAGCUCUACAAUUUAUUGUGAUGUCUUAAAUAACUGCAUAUUUUCUUUGAAAAAUAUACUCGAAUAAUAUAUUUAAA